CACAUAUAUCAGUAAACCAUCAGUCAGGUACUUAGUGGUGUAUAUUAUCAGCCAGGAUCCUAGCAGAGUAAAUUAAGUCAGGUACCUAGCGGAGUAAAUUAUUUGUUGGUUACCUACCUUAGUAAAUUAUCAGUCAGGUAUUUAUCUAAGUAAAUUGUAAGUCAGUACUUAGCGAAGUACAUUAUUAGUCAGGUACAUAGCAGAGUAAACUCAAAUCCCUACCAUACAUCUCUGCAGAGUCAAUACUGUCAGAUGCAAACUUUGUCAGUGCAGCUUGGAGCAGAUAUCAGACAGCUUUGCCUUCCAACAACUGCUUUCCUCCAGUGUGUAUGUGGAGUGUUGAUCUUUCCCAAUCCUGGGAUUUGAACGUCUCGUGGGCCGCCUAUGAAGGUGCUGGAGUCAAACAUUCUCCAGGCCACAAUUAAGCUUAGAGAUUCCCAACCCACCACAAGGAGUUACGAGAGCACACCGAGACAAGGCAGCCCUGACUGACAUCCAACCGUUCAUCCUGGGAACCGCUAAAACAAUUUGCGCUGCCCUUUUCUGACCCCUGGGCAUUGUUGGUAUGUCACAACCAGGAUUCAAACACUUGGUCAGAAUGAUUCAGCAGUACUGCAAGGCAUGUACCAGAUGAUUCUAAAAGAGAAUGUCAGGUGAUAUGCCCUUGAGUUGAAUCUACAAAUGUGUGGCUGAGGGUUGUCUCUUCCUCCCCUUGCUUUACCGAUCCGUUCAAAAUUCCAAAGACAUUUUUAUUAUUAUGGUACCUGUUGUUGCAUGCUUUUGUGAAACAUUGGUUAAUCUUGGAAAAAAUAUAUUUUGACUUAAAGCUACAAUUUUGAAAACUCCAGACACAUCACCUGCAUCUUACCUUUUAAAAGGAUUUGGAAAGUUGUUUUUGCACCCCAGGAAAAUGCAUCAGAGCAGUUUAAAAAUACAUUUUAAAUGUUAUUGAAGGUAGCAAUAAUAACCUAGUAAAUGCAUUUUGAGCCACCAAAAUAUAUGGUAUGAUUUUCAGCGCAAAUAAUGUGGUCUAAUCAAUGAAUGAAUGCAAACAAAACGUGGCUUAAGAAAACAAAAUAUUUAUAUUUCUCUCAUGUCAUCUUCAUCCGCUUAUCCGGUAUC